rnacentral:rRNA from 1 species
GAUGAACGCUGGCGGCGUGCCUAAUACAUGCAAGUCGAGCGAACAGACGAGGAGCUUGCUCCUCUGACGUUAGCGGCGGACGGGCGAGUAACACGUGGAUAACCUACCUAUAAGACUGGGAUAACUUCGGGAAACCGGAGCUAAUACCGGAUAAUAUAUUGAACCGCAUGGUUCAAUAGUGAAAGACGGUUUUGCUGUCACUUAUAGAUGGAUCCGCGCCGCAUUAGCUAGUUGGUAAGGUAACGGCUUACCAAGGCAACGAUGCGUAGCCGACCUGAGAGGGGGAUCGGCCACACUGGAACUGAGACACGGUCCAGACUCCUACGGGAGGCAGCAGUAGGGAAUCUUCCGCAAUGGGCGAAAGCCUGACGGAGCAACGCCGCGUGAGUGAUGAAGGUCUUCGGAUCGUAAAGCUCUGUUAUUAGGGAAGAACAAAUGUGUAAGUAACUAUGCACGUCUUGACGGUACCUAAUCAGAAAGCCACGGCUAACUACGUG